AUUGAAUGCUGGCGGCAUGCCUUACACAUGCAAGUCGAACGGUAACAGGUCUUCGGAUGCUGACGAGUGGCGAACGGGUGAGUAAUACAUCGGAACGUGCCCAGACGUGGGGGAUAACGAGGCGAAAGCUUUGCUAAUACCGCAUACGAUCUAAGGAUGAAAGCAGGGGACCGCAAGGCCUUGCGCGUUUGGAGCGGCCGAUGGCAGAUUAGGUAGUUGGUGGGAUAAAAGCUUACCAAGCCGACGAUCUGUAGCUGGUCUGAGAGGACGACCAGCCACACUGGGACUGAGACACGGCCCAGACUCCUACGGGAGGCAGCAGUGGGGAAUUUUGGACAAUGGGCGAAAGCCUGAUCCAGCAAUGCCGCGUGCAGGAUGAAGGCCUUCGGGUUGUAAACUGCUUUUGUACGGAACGAAAAGGCUCUGGCUAAUACCUGGGGCACAUGACGGUACCGUAAGAAUAAGCACCGGCUAACUACGUG
rnacentral:rRNA from 1 species